GAUCAUGGCUCAGGACGAACGCUGGCGGCGUGCCUAAUACAUGCAAGUAGAACGCUGAAGGAGGAGCUUGCUCUUCUGGAUGAGUUGCGAACGGGUGAGUAACGCGUAGGUAACCUGCCUGGUAGCGGGGGAUAACUAUUGGAAACGAUAGCUAAUACCGCAUAACAGUAGAUAUCGCAUGAUAUUUGCUUGAAAGGUGCAAUUGCACCACUACCAGAUGG
rnacentral:rRNA from 1 species